rnacentral:rRNA from 1 species
GAAGGUCCAGGCGUUAUCCGGAUUUAUUGGGUUUAAACGGAGCGUAGGCGGAUUAUUAAGUCAGUGGUGAAAGACGGUGGCUCAACCAUCGUUAGCCAUUGAAACUGGUAGUCUUGAGUGCAGACAGGGAUGCUGGAACUCGUGGUGUAGCGGUGAAAUGCUUAGAUAUCACGAUGAACUCCGAUCGCGAAGGCAGGUGUCCGGGCUGCAACUGACGCUGAGGCUCGAAAGUGUGGGUAUCAAACAGGAUUAGAUACCCUGGUAGUCCACACAGUAAACGAUGUAUACUCGCGGUUUGCGAUAUAGUGUAAGCCGCCAAGCGAAAGCAUUAAGUAUACCACCUGGGGAGUACGCCGGCAACGGUGAAACUCAAAGGAAUUGACGGGGGCCCGCACAAGCGGAGGAACAUGUGGUUUAAUUCGAUGAUACGCGAGGAACCUUACCCGGGCUUGAAUUGCAGAGGAAGGAUUUAGAGAUAAUGACGCCCUUCGGGGUCUCUGUGAAGGUGCUGCAUGGUUGUCGUCAGCUCGUGCCGUGAGGUGUCGGCUUAAGUGCCAUAACGAGCGCAACCCCUCUCUUCAGUUGCCAUCAGGUAAUGCUGGGCACUCUGGAGACACUGCCACCGUAAGGUGUGAGGAAGGUGGGGAUGACGUCAAAUCAGCACGGCCCUUACGUCCGGGGCUACACACGUGUUACAAUGGGGGGUACAGAAGGUCGCUACCUGGUGACAGGAUGCUAAUCUCAAAAACCUCUCUCAGUUCGGAUUGGAGUCUGCAACCCGACUCCAUGAAGCUGGAUUCGCUAGUAAUCGCGCAUCAGCCAUGGCGCGGUGAAUACGUUCCCGGGCCUUGUACACACCGCCCGUCAAGCCAUGAAAGCCGGGGGUGCCUGAAGUCCGUGACCGCAAGGAUCGGCCUAGGGCAAAACUGGU